rnacentral:rRNA from 1 species
AACGAACGCUGGCGGCAUGCCUAACACAUGCAAGUCGAACGAGACCUUCGGGUCUAGUGGCGCACGGGUGCGUAACGCGUGGGAACCUGCCCUUAGGUUCGGAAUAACUCCCCGAAAGGGGUGCUAAUACCGGAUAAUGUCUUCGGACCAAAGAUUUAUCGCCUUUGGAUGGGCCCGCGUUGGAUUAGCUAGUUGGUAGGGUAAAAGCCUACCAAGGCGACGAUCCAUAGCUGGUCUGAGAGGAUGAUCAGCCACACUGGGACUGAGACACGGCCCAGACUCCUACGGGAGGCAGCAGUGGGGAAUAUUGGACAAGGGGCGAAAGCCUGAUCCAGCAAUGCCGCGUGAGUGAUGAAGGCCUUAGGGCUGUAAAGCUCUUUUACCCGGGAUGAUAAUGACAGUACCGGGAGAAUAAGCUCCGGCUAACUCCGUG